ensembl:lncRNA
UAUGGGGGAAGUCCUUGUGUGUAUAUGUUUGUCUUUUUUGGUUGAUAAAUAAAGCACUGUUGGCCAAUAGGGAAUCAAGUUAGGUGGGACUAGGAGUCAAGGAGGAUUCUGGGAAAUGUAGUAAAGAGAAGUCUUGUGAUCCAGGAAGGAAGUGACAUAGUAGGCAGACUUAUAAGUCUGGAGAAGCAGGAAAUCACUCUCUUCCUUCCCCUCUCUUCUCUGGGAGCUGCCAUGUGAGCCCAACAAGAGAGGAAGCAUGCUGUCGGCGUCCUCGAUCAGAUAAGUCUUUAUAAAAUAUAUAGAUUAAUAAUUAUGGUUGAUACUUAAGACAGAGAUAGGAGAUAAGAAAUCCUAGGCAUUGGCCAGCAGCAUUGUACCUAAUAUUAAUCUCUGUGUGUUAUUUGGGGCCCUAACAUGGCGGCAGGCAGGGCUCGGGCGGCUUGGAGGAAAGGCUUAUCGUUACAUCUUUCUGUUAGUAUCAUUCAUUUGAAAACUGAGCAUUUGGAGGGAAAAUGUCCCCUUUGGGGUUUUGUCUAGAAGAACUACACUAGCAAAACCAGGGUAGGAAUUAAAGUAUUCCCUGAGUGUGCAUCUUCCUUGAAUUACCCAUACCCUCCUCUCAUCUUCAUUUCCCCAUAUACAUGGCUACACCAAAAAUUUGUUUCCUUAAUCUUUUCUUCUGCUUCUUGCUGGGUGGGGGGGCUAUGGAUCUGUGAACCAAAUUCUCAAUUGUACACACACACUGUAACCUCUGUCUGUUGUCUCUUGUCCUCUAUAACCGGCAAGUUACAGUUCUCUUUGGUGACAUAAUACCUAUAGCUGAUUUAGAUAUUUCCAAAAGGAUAUCCAAGCCAUGCCAGAGUCUCAAUGACGCUUUAAGCCAGUUGAAACAAAGUUUAGAACCAUGUGCUGCCUUCUUAGAUUAGCUUAGAUGCUGCAAUGAAGUUUGAUUCUUUCUCCUAUAGCAGUGUAAAAGAUGGGCAUGGAACAGCCUCCUCCUGACUUUACAAUGCACAAGGAGGUGCUAAGGCAAGGGAUCCUGAUUGAGAACUGAUUUGCCAUGAGAAUUCACCAUGGAGUGUAAAGGGCAUUUUCAGUGAAACUGGAUAGAUCAGAGCUGUAUUUCAUUUAAGCAAUUAUACUUUAAUGGAGUCAUUUGGAAGACUGCCAAGAAGUUGCAUACAGCAAUAUGCAACUAGAACCAAAAAUACCCAGUACCCACUUGGCCAAGCACAACCCUUCCAAGGGCCACCCAUUGGCACAGAAGAGAGCUCCGAUCAGAUGUGUUCUGCAUCACCCAUUUUCUGGAGGUCUGGAGUAAGGCCUGCUGGCAGGCUCCAACAGAGAAUUAGCCAUUGUGAGCUAAUGUACUGUGACCAAGAUGCACUGUUGACCUUUAUAGCAACAUGGAUUCCAAAGCUGUACCUAUUGGCUAGGAGCUGCCCUGCCACAGAGGGGAGAGACUGGGAAGAUAUUAAAUAUAGUGGCACCAACUGAGCACUCAAGGGAUGGGGUAUUUAAUUCACUUCAUCGACAGAACAUUUAGCCUUGAAGCACAAGGCCCUGGUUGAUACCCUCAUGACCAUGUGGCUGGAGAGGUGUUGUUACAGCCAGAUGCAUUGCAAGAUUGCCAGUCCUGGGCCUCUGGAACUUUAUCCACUCAUGACCCUUUUCAUUCAAGAAUCUUCUACAUAACCCAAGUAUAAAGCUCAGAUUCCUGGGACUCAGACCACAGGAGACCUAGAAGAUUGUAUUAGUCAUUUGUAUUACUAUUGGACCAACAUAGUUUCUGGCCAUGAAACCUUCUGGAUUUGAAGAUGCUUAACAUUUGCUCAUUUCCCU